rnacentral:lncRNA from 1 species
GAACACGGGGCUCCCCUGCCAGAUAUUGUCCGGUUCUGGAGCUUCACGCAAGCGUCCUUCAUCCCUCCCCGGUUUUAUUUUCCACCCAAAACGCGUCUGCAGGAUUAGGAGACACCCGCCUCAUAUGCCCAGGCUCUGGAACGAGUCUUUCCGAUGUGGGACUAUUGGGCCUCACACCCUUCCCACCAUCGGACAAGAGCCGUCCUCGGCUCUGAUACCAAAUGUCACGCCCC